rnacentral:rRNA from 1 species
UUCGAGCAACGCGAAAAACCUUACCUACCCUUGACAUGGUCAGGACCCUGUGAAAGGCGGGGGUCCCGAAAGGGAACUGAUACACAGGUGCUGCAUGGCGUCGUCAGCUCGUGUCGUGAGAUGUUGGGUUAAGUCCCGCAACGAGCGCAACCCUUGUCCCUAGUUGCUACGCAAGAGCACUCUAGGGAGACUGCCGGUGACAAACCGGAGGAAGGUGGGGAUGACGUCAAGUCCUCAUGGCCCUUAUGGGUAGGGCUUCACACGUCAUACAAUGGUCGGAACAGAGGGUCGCCAACCCGCGAGGGGGAGCCAAUCCCAGAAAACCGAUCGUAGUCCGGAUCGCACUCUGCAACUCGAGUGCGUGAAGCUGGAAUCGCUAGUAAUCGCGGAUCAGCAUGCCGCGGUGAAUACGUUCCCGGGUCUUGUACACACCGCCCGUCACACCAUGGGAGUGGGUUU